GGUGGUAUCUACCUUUCGGUGAGGAAUACCGGCGAGAAAUCGCCGACAAUACCGCAUACGCUUGGGCAACCAAGCAAAGUCGCAAGACGCCGGAGGAGGAGCCUGCGCCCGAUUAGCUAGUUGGUGAAGUAAUGGUUCACCAAGGCGUCGAUCGGUAGCUGGUCUGAGAGGAUGAUCAGCCACACUGGGAUUGAGAACGGCCCAG
rnacentral:rRNA from 1 species